UCUCUAUCUGGAGAUCACCCUUCUUGGAGCCCUUCUUUGAGCCCAGGACAAGGAACAAAAAUGCCGUGUUAGAUGAAAACCAUCUGGUGUCAACAAAAACCAUCCCUGUGGUCAAGCAACAGCUUGGGACAAGUGGAUGUUGUUUGAAAAGUCACUGGGCCAGAAGCAGGGUUGAUUCCAGCCUCUGAAACGGGCACGAAUUCUUCUCUCGUAAUAAGAAAGGUGCCACCCAAACGUGCAGAGUCCCGCUUGCCUCAAGUUAAGUUUUUACUGCUGAAUGGUGAAGCAAGAUGACAGCAUCAGCAGAAGAGCUGUUAUCAAGUAUCACUGCCUGCAUCCUGUGGUUGUGCCGUACUGGACCAUGGGCAGCCUGGCUCCAGCCAAGUGCACAGCUCAGGCUCUGUGCAGUACUGCACAUCCUAAUUCAGCAUCAAACCUCUGAAUUCCCAUACGUGUGCCAUGAACAAGAGGAGUCUCCAGGAGGAAAAAAAAAAAAGCAAAGAAUGGGGGAAAAAAUGAGAAGGAAGGUCACAAAGCAGGAGCCCAGGUUGGCUUAGUCCCUGAUUAUGCUUUGGACUAGAGGCCAGGAUUUUCCCAUUGACAUGGACAAAUUGGUCUACUUUAUUGCAUUCUGGAGAUUUGAUCCUCCUCUGCAGUCUGCUGGGCAACUUCCAAAGGAUAGAAUUGGAUUCCUCACCAUAAAGUUUCUCCUUCCAAGAUGGAAAGGGCUUUUAUGGCAAAGUAUAAAAUCAAAAAACAAGCUGUCACUCGCAUUUGCUGCCCUGCUCUUUCUGUGCACUGUAAGAAGCACUCUCAGGGUUUUGAAGCCUGCUGUAUUAAGUGUGAGAUGGUGAAAAGGUCAUGACAGAAGGGCUGGUGAGAUUGAAAUCGAGUGCAGGAGCAUUCUGCAAGGAGGUGACUUGCCUGCUCCAAAUGCCCUGAGAAGUGAAGGCGAGAGCCUUAGCACAGCAUUGUGCUACCUGUGUCUUCUCCAUCCCUGCUACCUGCAUCCCUCCUUGCACAACCAGACCGUGGCUUUCAGGGUGACUGAUGUCCCCAUCAAGGAACAGUUUGUGACAAAGGAAUACAUCUUCCAUGAGGAGGAUGACCAGGAAUUGGACAACAUGAACUGAAGAAAACAUCUCCUGCCUCAGCAAUGGGCUCCCAAACCAAAACAGACAUUACUGCCUGGAAGUAAUUCGGAGGAACUCUACCAGCAAGUGUGAAAUGAAUGCAAAUGUGCAGCUUCUUUAGACUUAAUUGUAGAAGAGCAUCUGUUUACAUUUCAUUUCAGUACUACAGUGAACCCUCAUCUAUUGGGAAGUUUGCAGCCUGCAAAGAUAGCAUGUUGUUGAGUGGUUUUGAAAAGAAUAUACCAUCAUUCACCAGGUUCAUGCUGCUUGCCUCUAUUCAGCCACUCACCAGAGCCACCCUAUCGAAACUACAACUGUGGAUGUAAGCAUUUCUGAGAGCUGUAAUUGAACUCCCCAUCACAACCUUUACAGCAAUCAUUUUGAUUACUCUUAGCUUAGCAAUUAUGGCUGAGUGACACAUUUUCAGCUUUGGAAAACAAUAUGCCUAGCCCAGCUACCCUAUGCAUAAGUGUCUCAUAUACAUAUAUCCACAUAGAUAUACAUAUUUACCAGCUUUCACGUGCUAAAUGGUUUCUAAGCUCCUGCCUGCCAAGGAGCUGGUUGAUCCAUGAGCAGGAUUCCUGUUGGAUGGCUGCAUGAUGUGUGCCAACAGCUCCCUCUGGGUUUUUUGUCUGAGAUUUACUUCAGUUGCAGAAAAAUCAGGGAACGUCUUUGUUCCCAGAAGUACUCCUGGCAGCCGACCUUGGAUCACGACCCAUCAUCGCAGCCCAGUUGCACAGUCUCUAGACAGCAUCUCCUCGGGGCCAGCACAACCUGGGGUGAUGAGACAAGCUCUGUAAUGGAAACGAUUGUGCCUUUGUGUCUGGGCAGCCAGCAAGUGUCAUUCUUUGAAACACAGCGGCUAUUUCAGAAAGAGCAUCUCUAGCGGAGAUGCAGCAGUUUUCCAGGGCACCAUGGAGACAUCCAGUUGCAUAACCCUGACAGUCACUGGGAGACAGUCUGCUGGCAAGCAUUACUGAUCCCCCCCGCUCCUGCUCAGCAUGAAGUCCCAAUGACCUCAGCCCUUGGCCGCCUUGUCCACCUCCAACAAGGAAUGUUAGAGAGAACAUCUCAGGAGCCCCUCCCAUAAGCUAUGAACCAAAGCCCUUAAUUUUACAGCUACUAAAAUAUACCAAAGUUCAACACAAUAGCUUUUCAAGUUGACUAACUGGUACGUGGGAGCCAAAAAGCAGGAGCCAUGUAGAUUUAUCAUGUCGUUAAAGGGAACUGGGGUGAGUGUUAGGCAGAGGAUGGAGAUCGCGAACCCAGAGCUGAGGGCAACAGCUUUAUGAUGAGUUUCACCAUCUGAAAGCCUGGUGUUGUGCACUGCAGCAACCAGCGUUGAGCUCGUCAGAUCUCAGAUUUGCAGCAGGCUGCUUUGCUUCUUUGUUCAUCAAAACAGGGAAGAAAUAGUGGAGCACUUUGGAAAAAUCCUGGAGAAUCUGGUAGAGAUGGAAUUGAGGGUGCUUAGGAACUUGCAGAGUCCAGGGCAGAAAUUACUGUAAAUACUUGUUGAAUUUAGUAAGUGUUUUUAUGCUUCCUGUUGGGUUAUUUUUAACACUCUUGUAGGAUUCCAUAGUGGGAUAUGAUUAUGCAUUAAAUUUUAAUGGUUGUUU
ensembl:lncRNA